UAGAGUUUGAUCCUGGCUCAGAUUGAACGCUGGCGGCAUGCCUUACACAUGCAAGUCGAACGGCAGCACGGGAGCAAUCCUGGUGGCGAGUGGCGAACGGGUGAGUAAUGUAUCGGAACGUGCCCAGCCGUGGGGGAUAACGCAGCGAAAGCUGUGCUAAUACCGCAUACGAUCUAUGGAUGAAAGCGGGGGAUCGCAAGACCUCGCGCGAUUGGAGCGGCCGAUAUCAGAUUAGGUAGUUGGUGGGGUAAAGGCCCACCAAGCCGACGAUCUGUAGCUGGUCUGAGAGGACGACCAGCCACACUGGAACUGAGACACGGUCCAGACUCCUACGGGAGGCAGCAGUGGGGAAUUUUGGACAAUGGGCGCAAGCCUGAUCCAGCAAUGCCGCGUGCAGGAUGAAGGCCUUCGGGUUGUAAACUGCUUUUGUACGGAACGAAACGGCUCUUUCUAAUACAAGGGGCUAAUGACGGUACCGUAAGAAUAAGCACCGGCUAACUACGUGCCAGCAGCCGCGGUAAUAC
rnacentral:rRNA from 1 species